AUUGAACGCUGGCGGCAUGCCUUACACAUGCAAGUCGAACGGCAGCACGGGAGCAAUCCUGGUGGCGAGUGGCGAACGGGUGAGUAAAGUAUCGGAACGUGCCCAGUCGUGGGGGAUAACGUAGCGAAAGUUACGCUAAUACCGCAUACGAUCUAUGGAUGAAAGCGGGGGAUCGCAAGACCUCGCGCGAUUGGAGCGGCCGAUAUCAGAUUAGGUAGUUGGUGGGGUAAAGGCUCACCAAGCCGACGAUCUGUAGCUGGUCUGAGAGGACGACAGCCACAAUGGGGCUGGGACACGGCCCAGACUCCUACGGGAGGCAGCAGUGGGGAAUUUUGGACAAUGGGCGAAAGCCUGAUCCAGCCAUGCCGCGUGCAGGAUGAAGGCCUCCGGGUUGUAAACUGCUUUUGUACGGAACGAAAAGGUUUGGGCUAAUAAGCUGAGCUCAUGACGGUACCGUAAGAAUAAGCACCGGCUAACUACGUGCCAGCAGCCGCCGCCGUAC
rnacentral:rRNA from 1 species